GACAGAGGUGCCGAGCGUUAGGCGGAAUCACUGGGCUUAAAGCGCGUGUAGGCGGGUCCGUAAGUGCCUUGUGAAAUCCCACGGCUCAACCGUGGAACUGCUGGGCAUACUGCGGGUCUUGGGCCAUCUAGGGGCGAGCGGAACAAGCGGUGGAGCGGUGAAAUGCGUAGAUAUCGCUUGGAACGCCAAUGGUGAAAACAGCUCGCUGGGGAUGUGCCGACGCUGAGACGCGAAAGCCAGGGGAGCGAAC
rnacentral:rRNA from 1 species